UGGGGAAUAUUGCACAAUGGGCGCAAGCCUGAUGCAGCCAUGCCGCGUGUAUGAUGAAGGCCUUCGGGUUGUAAAGCACUUUCAGCGGGGAGGAAGGGAGUAAAGUUAAUACCUUUGCUCGUUGACGUUACCCGCAGAAGAAGCGCCGGCUAACUACGUGCCAGCAGCAGCGGUAAUACGUAGGGCGCGAGCGUUGUCCGGGAUUAUUGGGUGUAAAGGGCUUGUAGGCGGCUUGUUGCGCCUGCUGUGAAAACGCGGGGCUUAACUUCGCGCGUGCAGUGGGUACGGGCAGGCUUGAGUGUGGUAGGGGUGACUGGAAUUCCAGGUGUAGCGGUGGAAUGCGCAGAUAUCUGGAAGAACACCGAUGGCGAAGGCAGGUCCCUAGACCAAUACUGACGCUAAGGGGCGAAAGCAUGGGUAGCGAACAGG
rnacentral:rRNA from 1 species